UACGUAGGGUGCAGGCGUUAAUCGGAAUUACUGGGCGUAAAGCGUGCGCAGGCGGUUUGCUAAGACAGGUGUGAAAUCCCCGGGCUUAACCUGGGAACUGCGCUUGUAACCGGCAAGCUGGAGUGUGGCAGAGGGGGGUGGAAUUCCACGUGUAGCAGUGAAAUGCGUAGAGAUGUGGAGGAACACCGAUGGCGAAGGCAGCCCCCUGGGCUAACACUGACGCUCAUGCACGAAAGCGUGGGGAGCAAACAGG
rnacentral:rRNA from 1 species